UAUCCAUCAUUGCUUUUCAGAUUUGAUAACUCGAGGAAGCCCUAGAGUACAUCUGAGGUCCACUAUUUGAGAAAUGCUGUCUGAAAGAGUGAAGUCAGUCUAUGAAAACAUCUCUCAAAUGUGAGUCAUCUCUGCAGAUGAGAGCCUGGCUUGGUAGCUGGGCUGGGCUUCCUUCUCAUCAGAGCUUAGUGAACUCAGACAUCACUGUUGGACUCCUUGAAAAGAGAGGAGGACAGAAGGUGCCUGGAAGCAGCCCCUGAAACCAGCUGGAAGUCUGACCCUGCAAGGGCUUCCUGGCUGCUAAACUCGGCUGACACUUUUGGAUCUCCUAAGUGAUCACUCUGCAGCAGCCGGCCCGCUCACCAUCCCCGCUUCUCUACCGUGACACAUAGCCCCUGGCUUCCUCCACUGCUCUGGCCGCUCCUCUUCAGCUUGCAUCUUGAGGAUUCCAUUCUCGGCACCCAUCCCUUCCUCUUCUUCGUGCUCCCCCCUGAGUAAAUGUGACCGUCCCCAUGGUCUGGCUCAUUUUGUUAUUACUUCCUAAGUAUCUCCCUGAAAACAAGUGUUUCCUGCUGAGUUCCAGACUGGUGCAGCUAGAUGAUUGUACUUUUCACGAUGCGGUGAGCCUCUGGAGGGGAGAGAUCGUAGGAUCCUGUCCAGUGCCUGGCACACAUAGGCAUUUAGCAAAUAUUUGAUAAAUGGAAAAAGUGGAACAAGAGCCACCAGCUCAUGAUCAUUCAAGAGCUCUUUGUAUCAGGUGAGAUGUGUACAUCUCAGGGAAUGCCAGAGGGGUGAUUCAUAAAGCCAAAAGUUAUUAGAGUCAGAGGAGGUUUAAGACCAUCUCCAGCCAAACCUCUUAUUGUGCUCAAAAGGAAACUGAGGUCCAGCAGGGAUAAGACACUUGUUCAAGAUCACACAGCAAAUUUCGGGCAGAGUACCUCCCCAGCUCACAUAGGAAGGGGCACCUUGGGGUAUUCCCUCCCAGGAUGAUCCUGCAGGAGUGAAAGAUAGGAAGGUAGGAUGGGCAUGGUACAUACGUGGGGCCAUGACAAAUGUGAGCUCAAAUGUAUGUCUGGAAAGUUCGAAGGCAUAAUGCCCUACGCGAAUCUUACUCGAUUGUUGUCUGAUCCAACACACCGGUGACUGGGAUCCCAUAAAACUGCUGCAUAGUGGAGACUGCUGACUGUAAGACCUUCCCUGAGUGCAGCGCGGGUGCCCGUGAGUCAUAGGGAAGCAGAUAGCCAUAUGACUUUAACCAGUUCUGAAAGACACAUGAAAGAGAAGGAUGCAUUAUGCUGGAGAAGGCUCUGUUCCACCUAGGUGGAGAUUUGCCCUUGAAACUGGGAUCAUUUUACCGAAGGGACCUAUGGACUCAUGCUCCGAUUGCCUCCCCCUUCAUUCCUUCCUGCACACACUGGCAAAUAAUCUCCAGAAAACCCAGCUCUUGGUGGCUUUCUCCCUUGCUAUAAAGCUUUCAUUGGAUCUCUACUGGCUACAGAAUAAAGAUCAAAUUUGCAUUCAA